rnacentral:tRNA from 1 species
GGGCUCGUCCGGGAUUUGAACCCCGGGACCUCUCGCACCCUAAGCGAGAAUCAUACCCCUUGACCGACGAGCC